rnacentral:rRNA from 1 species
GAUUAACGCUGGCGGCGUGCAUAACACAUGCAAGUCGAACGAAGUGGAGGACGGGUGAGUAACGCGUGAGUCACCUGCAUAAGAGAAGGGGAUAGGCUUUGGAAACGAAGAAUAAUAACCUAUGAUCUCAGAUGGACUUGCGUGUGAUUAGUUAGUUGGUGGGUUAACGGACCACAAAGACAGCGAUCAGUAGCCGGCUUGAGAGAGUGUACGGCCACAUUGGGACUGAGACACGGCCCAGACUCUACGGGAGGCAGCAGUGGGGAAUUUUGCACAAUGGGGGAAACCCUGAUGCAGCGACGCCGCGUGAUUUAGAAGGCCUUCGGGUUGUAAAAAUCUUUUCUAUGGGAAGCAGUACCAUAGGAAUAAGGACCGGCUAAUUACGUGCCAGCCGCCGCGGUAAUUC